AACAAUCGAAAAUUGAAAAGGGUGCAUGAAAUGUAAAAAAAUGUGUAAAUAGCACUACCCAUAUAUGAAAGGUUGCACAAAAAGUUGCUUGACUAGACAAUGAUCAUUUUUCUUCAAUCCUACAAUAAAAUGAACAAACCAAAACAUACAGCUUACCAAAGGAAAAAAAGGUACAUAUUUUACUCGUUAGCUUUCACAAGUUUUGCAAUAUUUGAUUGUCUCCAAGUACAUUUUGGCUCUCCCAUCGCUUCCUCCCUCCCAUGUAGCUUGUAGCAAUCUACUGGAUAUAGAAAAGGUCUGCGUUGUGGAUAUCCUGCUCCAUGCAAACGGUCCAUACUGCCCUCCAAAGUUUUGCAGCAGAUUCAAAAGAUCGGCUGCAAUGGCUUUCAUGUCAUGGUUUCUGUCUUUGGCUUCAUCUCUUUUCAAUCUUUGGUUAUUUCCGUCCUGGUGAAUUCUCGUGAUAAAGCUUGUCUUUGACUUCUGUAGAAAUUUGUGAUCCAGGAGGGCAUUCAAAACUAUUUGAAACCGUAGGUUUGUAUUUGAGUAGUGUUCAAAUCAUACACAAGCAAUUGUGAAUCAUGAACAAAAGUUUCAUUCAACGUUUGAAAGCUCAACAACUCGAUGAUCAAUCAUUUUAUUGCAAGAGCAACGCCUCAUCCGUUUCUGGCAACUAAGAAAUAUAAUUAGCAUACAUGUAAUGAUAUAUCUUGCUUGACAAAACAUGAAAACAUGCCAUACAAAUUGAAAACUUUACAACUCAACGGUGCUUUUCUUAAUCAGUUAUGCCCGUAACAUGUAAUGUAAUUCCUUAUUGGUGUGUGAGGCUUGUAUUGCUUCGAAUAAUAAGUUACACAUAUACAUAAAUUUCACACAUUACACACACCAAAAGUUUAACCCAUCUUCUCAGCUCAUGAGCAGCAGAGUUAGAGCUCUCGGAAUUCAACCGAGUCAGAAUAUAUGAUGGUAUAUGCUGGCUGCAUAAAGCGAUUAUCAUGUUCAGUUACCUUUGCAAGACCUUCCUUGGCUUUCCUUAUUACUUUAAGCCAGUGUCUAUGGAAACACUAUUUGCUAUCUAGACUUCACUUCAGGAACUUUUUCUUUGUAAUAUCUUCGAGAGGAUUUACCAGGACCUUGUUCGCGUUUUCAAUGCUUCCGAAUAUCCCUAUAUCAGGCUACGAAGCUAUCUUAGAAUAAGCACAUUUUGGAAUAAAUGCAGCCAUCCAUAGGUUCUUGACAAUAGGCAGAGCCCUUCCGCCGGGCCGUGGGUCUGCUGUCCCCUAAAUACGCGUCUCGUACAUGUCUCGUCUCUAAUUACUUGACAUGUGUCCACCUGCUUAACCAAAACUUAACAUUGUUAAAUUUAAUAUAUAAAAAUAGUUGAAUAUCAGAGUGUGCAACGAACAAGACUAACAAAUAAUAAGAAUAUUAUUAAACAAACUGAGAAUGCCGAAACGGCUACAAAACCUAAGAGACUACAUUGUAGCUUACUUGUUCUCUAAUGAAUAACAAAGCACCCUAUUUAUAAUAAACUAACCCUAAUCCCUAAAAAAACCUAAUUCUAACGAACUAAGCCCAUAAAACCAAAUAUUCAAAUAAACCAAAAUACUAAUAUUUUCCAACAAAAAUAAAAUAAAAACAUCAACAAUAAGAUAAAAACCCACCACAAUGAGUCAUUACCUUCUUCCUCCCCUCCAAUACCACAACCUCCUUAGCCCCAAUCCAACACAUCAGCAGCAACCACCCCACAUUGCCAUGACCUAGCCUCCUCAAAUCAGGUAUCAUGGUCGUCGUUGGUAAGAAUACACACUGAUUCCGGACCUAUUGACAACCACCUUCACGGAGUCUCCAUUGAUUCUGGCCAAUCUUCCGUCGCUGAGACCAUUUUUUAAUUAUAAUCUCCAUUUACCUCUAUGUCCUCCAUUUUCUCUCCUCGUCCUCCUUUUUUGUCUCUUCUGUUUGUUUCUCCAUCUCCCACCAAAUCCACCUCACGGGUGGUUGAAAUCUUGCAAGCCUUCGAAUCAGAGUCAGUGUCGUCGAUUUUAGUUGGAG
rnacentral:lncRNA from 1 species